UCUAAGGAAAUCGAAAAUGUUAUUUUCGAUUUAAAAAAAAACCGGUAAUGUGACCGUCCUCAUUUCUCUUCUUUUAAUGUCUCUGAGUAAAAAUUAAGGGGCCGGUAGCUCAGGUGGUUAGAGCGCACCCCUGAUAAGGGUGAGGUCGGAAGUUCGAAUCUUCCUCGGCCCACCAAAGAUUUCGGGGGAUUAGCUCAGCUGGGAGAGCGCCUGAUUUGCAUUCAGGAGGUCAGCGGUUCGAUCCCGCUAUCCUCCACCAAAGUUUGAGACAUUUAGCUUUUUUAAAUUGUGAAUAUUAAUAUUAUCAAUAUCUAUAUCCGAUUGUUUUCAGAUAUUUUUUUGAAAACAAUCAAAACAAAAAUUUGAAUUUUACACAGAAAUUUUUUUUCUGUGCAUAAAU
rnacentral:tRNA from 1 species